rnacentral:rRNA from 1 species
GAUGAACGCUGGCGGCGUGCCUAAUACAUGCAAGUCGAGCGAACAGACGAGGAGCUUGCUCCUCUGACGUUAGCGGCGGACGGGUGAGUAACACGUGGAUAACCUACCUAUAAGACUGGGAUAACUUCGGGAAACCGGAGCUAAUACCGGAUAAUAUAUUGAACCGCAUGGUUCAAUAGUGAAAGACGGUUUUGCUGUCACUUAUAGAUGGUUCCGCGCCGCAUUAGCUAGUUGGUAAGGUAACGGCUUACCAAGGCGACGAUGCGUAGCCGACCUGAGAGGGUGAUCGGCCACACUGGUACUGAGACACGGUCCAGACUCCUACGGGAGGCAGCAGUAGGGAAUCUUCCGCAAUGGGCGAAAGCCUGACGGAGCAACGCCGCGUGAGUGAUGAAGGUCUUCGGAUCGUAAAACUCUGUUAUUAGGGAAGAACAAAUGUGUAAGUAACUAUGCACGUCUUGACGGUACCUAAUCAGAAAGCCACGGCUAACUACGUG